GAAUCUCGAUUCUCCCCUCCCGUCGGCUUUCUUCAACCUUUCUUCCCGGAGCGCCCCCCAAUCCACGAGUGGCAGCCGCGGGACUGUCGCGUCGGCGCCCGACGCCGGAGUCAGCGGGGCGCAAAAGCGCCGGACAUUUUGGCAGUUAGAUCAUGGCAACCAUAGAAGAAAUUGCACAUCAAAUUAUUGAACAACAGAUGGGAGAGAUUGUUACAGAGCAGCAAACUGGGCAGAAAAUCCAGAUUGUGACAGCACUUGAUCAUAAUACCCAAGGCAAGCAGUUCAUUCUGACAAAUCACGACGGCUCUACUCCAAGCAAAGUCAUUCUGGCCAGGCAAGAUUCCACUCCAGGAAAAGUUUUCCUUACAACUCCAGAUGCAGCAGGUGUCAACCAGUUAUUUUUUACCACUCCUGAUCUGUCUGCACAACACCUGCAGGACGUCAUUAUGGAGCAGUAACUUGUGAAGGCUGCAAAGGAUUUUUUAAAAGAAGCAUCCGAAAAAAUUUAGUAUAUUCAUGUCGAGGAUCAAAGGAUUGUAUUAUUAAUAAGCACCACCGCAACCGCUGUCAAUAC
rnacentral:sRNA from 1 species